rnacentral:rRNA from 1 species
CCUACGGGAGGCAGCAGCGGGGAAUAUUGGACAAUGGGCGAAAGCCUGAUCCAGCCAUGCCGCGUGUGUGAAGAAGGCCUUCGGGUUGUAAAGCACUUUCAGUGGGGAAGAAAGCCUUGGGGCUAAUACCCUCGAGGAAGGACAUCACCCACAGAAGAAGCACCGGCUAACUCCGUGCCAGCAGCCGCGGUAAUACGGAGGGUGCGAGCGUUAAUCGGAAUUACUGGGCGUAAAGCGCGCGUAGGCGGUCUGAUAAGCCGGUUGUGAAAGCCCCGGGCUCAACCUGGGAACGGCAUCCGGAACUGUCAGGCUAGAGUGCAGGAGAGGAAGGUAGAAUUCCCGGUGUAGCGGUGAAAUGCGUAGAGAUCGGGAGGAAUACCAGUGGCGAAGGCGGCCUUCUGGACUGACACUGACGCUGAGGUGCGAAAGCGUGGGUAGCAAACAGGAUUAGAUACCCUAGUAGUC